rnacentral:rRNA from 1 species
CACGGGGGGAGCAAGCGUUGUUCGGAAUCACUGGGCGUAAAGGGCGUGCAGGCGGUCAGGUAAGUGGGAUGUGAAAUGCCCCGGCUCACCCGGGGACCGGCAUCUCAUACUGCUUGGCUUGAGUACGGGAGAGGAUGUGGGAAUUCCUGGUGUAGCGGUGAAAUGCGUAGAUAUCAGGAGGAACACCGGUGGCGAAGGCGGCAUCCUGGACCGACACUGACGCUGAGGCGCGAAAGCCAGGGGAGCGAACGGG